rnacentral:rRNA from 1 species
GUGGGGAAUUUUGGACAAUGGGCGCAAGCCUGAUCCAGCGACGCCGCGUGGAGGACGAAGGCCUUCGGGUUGUAAACUCCUUUUGGAGGGGAAGAAUAAAUUGACGGUACCCUCAGAAAAAGCCACGGCUAACUACGUGCCAGCAGCCGCGGUAAUACGUAGGUGGCGAGCGUUACUCGGAAUUACUAGGCGUAAAGCGUAUGUAGGUGGUUAGAUAAGUCUAUGGUGAAAUUUCCUGGCUUAACUGGGAAGGGACAUGGAUACUAUCUGGCUUGAGUGUGGGAGGGGGAGACGGAAUUCCUGGUGUAGCGGUGAAAUGCGUAGAUAUCAGGAGGAACACCGAUGGCGAAAGCAGUCUCCUGGCCCAAUACUGACACUGAGGUACGAAAGCUAGGGUAGCAAACAGGAUUAGAAACCCGUGUAGUCC